UACAGAGACGGCAAGCGUUGUUCGGAUUCACUGGGCGUAAAGGGUGCGUAGGUGGCGAAGUAAGUCGGAUGUGAAGGCUCGGAGCUCAACUCCGAAAUGGCAUUGGAAACUACUUUGCUCGAGGGUUGGAGGGGGGACUGGAAUACUUGGUGUAGCAGUGAAAUGCGUAGAUAUCAAGUGGAACACCAGUGGCGAAGGCGAGUCCCUGGACAACUCCUGACACUGAGGCACGAAAGCUAGGGGAGCAAACAGG
rnacentral:rRNA from 1 species